rnacentral:rRNA from 1 species
CACGGCUAACUACGUGCCAGCAGCCGCGGUAAUACGUAGGUGGCAAGCGUUGUCCGGAAUUAUUGGGCGUAAAGCGCGCGCAGGCGGUCUCUUAAGUCUGAUGUGAAAGCCCACGGCUCAACCCGUGGAGGGUCAUUGGAAACUGGGAGACUUGAGUGCAGAAGAGGAGAGCGGAAUUCCACGUGUAGCGGUGAAAUGCGUAGAGAUGUGGAGGAACACCAGUGGCGAAGGCGGCUCUCUGGUCUGUAACUGACGCUGAGGCGCGAAAGCGUGGGGAGCGAACAGGAUUAGAUACCCUGGUAGUCCACGCCGUAAACGAUGAGUGCUAAGUGUUAGAGGGCUUCUACCCUUUAGUGCUGCAGCUAACGCAUUAAGCACUCCGCCUGGGGAGUACGGCCGCAAGGCUGAAACUCAAAGGAAUUGACGGGGGCCCGCACAAGCGGUGGAGCAUGUGGUUUAAUUCGAAGCAACGCGAAGAACCUUACCAGGUCUUGACAUCCUUCGCUACCUCUAGAGAUAGAGGGUUCCCCUUCGGGGGACGGAGUGACAGGUGGUGCAUGGUUGUCGUCAGCUCGUGUCGUGAGAUGUUGGGUUAAGUCCCGCAACGAGCGCAACCCUUGACCUUAGUUGCCAGCAUUCAGUUGGGCACUCUAAGGUGACUGCCGGUGACAAACCGGAGGAAGGUGGGGAUGACGUCAAAUCAUCAUGCCCCUUAUGACCUGGGCUACACACGUGCUACAAUGGAUGGUACAAAGGGUCGCGAAACCGCGAGGUGGAGCUAAUCCCAAAAAACCAUUCUCAGUUCGGAUUGCAGGCUGCAACUCGCCUGCAUGAAGCCGGAAUCGCUAGUAAUCGCGGAUCAGCAUGCCGCGGUGAAUACGUUCCCGGGCCUUGUACACACCGCCCGUCACACCACGAGAGUUUGCAACACCCGAAGUCGGUGAGGUAACCCUUACGGGAGCCAGCCGCCGAAGGUGGGGCAGAUGAUUGGGGUG